rnacentral:lncRNA from 1 species
CAUUUCUUACCCAUUUUUUCCCUUUUUUUCCUUUUUUUCCCUUUUUUCCCAGUUUUUUCCAUUUUUUCCCCAAAUUUUUUCCAUUUUUUUCAAAUUUUUUUUCCCAUUUCUUUCCCAUUUUUUCCCUUUUUUCCCAUUUUUUCCCCAAAUUUUUUCCCCAAAUUUUUUUCCCAUUUUUUUCCCAUUUUUUUUCCCAUUUCUUUCCCAUUUUUUCCCUUUUUUCCCUUUUUUCCAUUUUUUCCCUUUUUCUCCAUUUUUUUCCUUUUUUCCAUUUUUUUCCAAAUUUUUUCCCCAUUUUUUUCCCUUUUUUCCCAAAUUUUUUUCAUAUUUUUCCAUUUUUCCCAAUUUUUCCAUUUUUCCCCUCAAUUCCUCCCUUUCCCUCCCAAUUUUUCCCUAUUUUUUCCCCAUUUUUCCCCACACUUCACCUUUUCCAUCAUUUUUCCCUAAAUUCCAUUUUUUCCAGGGUUUUUUUUCCCUUUCAUUUCAUUUUU